rnacentral:lncRNA from 1 species
AAAAAAAAGCAAACAAACAUAAAGAUCUUAUGAAAGUUAUGUAUAGAUUAUUUUAACACUUCAGACUAACUCUGCCUUUCCUUUCUGACUUACAAGACAAAGUGAAUUGAAAACUAUUAACUCCAGAAUGAGCACUCAUUUCUCAUUCUCUGAUAAAUCCAGAUUUGUCCAUUAUAAUACACUGACUUUCCAACUCACCAGAUGGUUACACUGAUGUGCGGGAAGUGAAUAUGGGAAAAAAGCAAAAUAGACAGUUGCUCUGGUGGGAAGGCUGGAGGAAGACUUAUUGCAAAGACUAAUAUUUGAACAUCUUAAUGCCAAAUGCAAUCUACAGCUCUCAGGUCAUUCUCUAGAGUCUCUGUCUAACACGCAGGAAUGAUGAAGUUCCACCAGCUGCUAUGGUACGCAGGGAGCCAUGCAAGCUGCUGGCUGUUCCUUGUGCCCCAUAUUCUUUGUCCAGACAAUGUCAAUCAAAAAGGACUGAAACAGAGCAGACAACAGAACUAUUCUUUAGAAGAAUGUUAACAAGUAUCCUUUCUAUCUUGUUUCUUGUAACAGUCAUAAACAUGGAGCAGCUUAUAUACAUUCCAAGACAUUCAGGCCUUGGAAAGCUAAAAUCUCUUAACCUCAAGUACUGAAGUAUUACAAAAAAUAUAGUAAGAAAAACAUGCUUGGAUGCCAGAAACAGUGGUAAUUCUGAUCCAUGUAGUUUUGGUCUAUCACAGGAUGUUUUACAUCAGCCAUGGAUUUAUUCCGUAAACAAUACUUCAUAGUUUUCUACUCUGAUAGAAUACAGACAUCCAGCCUCACAGUGAAACACAUAAACAUAAAAAGUCUGAUAGCACAGAGCUCUAGCUUUUCUUUAACAGAUUUUUGCUAUCCUCUUGCCUAACCUUUCCUGUCUUUAGUUAAAUAUUUUAAAAAGUAUAAGGAAAAAAGAAACAAGGAAACUUGUUUGAAACAUCAAGCUUGUUUAGUAGCAGAAGAGGGUACACAGGCCUAUAACCAUCAUCUUUAUUCCUGAAAUUUCAAGUUGAUGAAUAGCAUCACAACUUGGCACAGGCAAUAUAUGAAUAUUAUCAUUCUUCAUCCCAUACUAAAAUUGGAACAAUCGUGAUGUGUCUUGUCUUUUGUCAAUUGAAAAAAGAAGACUUGAGUUAAAACAGAUGACACUUAUGAGAGUUGCUAUGGGCACAGUUGACAAUAAGCAUGUCUAAAUGGCUCAAGUUAUUGAAUGCUCAAGGAUGUCAGCAGCAUUUAAAGUUACAGGAGUUUGCUGAUGUACUGGAGCAAAAAGCAGAAACAUUUCUGGAUUUUCUCACCAAAAAGGUGAAAAUAAAAACCUUAAGCAAGUGUUUCA